rnacentral:rRNA from 1 species
UCCUACGGGAGGCAGCAGUGGGGAAUAUUGGACAAUGGGGGGAACCCUGAUCCAGCCAUGCCGCGUGUGUGAAGAAGGCCCUCGGGUUGUAAAGCACUUUCAGCGAGGAAGAACGCCUAGCGGUUAAUACCCGCUAGGAAAGACAUCACUCGCAGAAGAAGCACCGGCUAACUCCGUGCCAGCAGCCGCGGUAAUACGGAGGGUGCAAGCGUUAAUCGGAAUUAUUGGGCGUAAAGCGCGCGUAGGUGGCUUGAUAAGCCGGUUGUGAAAGCCCCGGGCUCAACCUGGGAACGGCAUCCGGAACUGUCAAGCUAGAGUGCAGGAGAGGAAGGUAGAAUUCCCGGUGUAGCGGUGAAAUGCGUAGAGAUCGGGAGGAAUACCAGUGGCGAAGGCGGCCUUCUGGACUGACACUGACACUGAGGUGCGAAAGCGUGGGUAGCAAACAGGAUUAGAUACCCUGGUAGUCCACGCCGUAAACGAUGUCGACCAGCCGUUGGGUGCCUAGCGCACUUUGUGGCGAAGUUAACGCGAUAAGUCGACCGCCUGGGGAGUACGGCCGCAAGGUUAAAACUCAAAUGAAUUGACGG